CAAGGAAUUUUGUGCAAUGGGGGAACCCUGACACAGCAACGCCGCGUGAGGGAUGACGGCCUUCGGGUUGUAAACCUCUUUUCUCAGGGAAGAAUAAUGACGGUACCUGAGGAAUAAGCUUCGGCUAACUACGUGCCAGCAGCCGCGGUAAUACGUAGGAAGCGAGCGUUAUCCGAAUUUACUGGGCGUAAAGUGGGCGUAGGCGGCCUUUCAGGUUGGAUGUGAAAUCUCCUGGCUUAACUGGGAGGGGUCAUCCAAUACUGCUAGGCUUGAGGACAGCAGGAGAAAGUGGAAUUCCCGGUGUAGUGGUGAAAUGCGUAGAUAUCGGGAGGAACACCAGUGGCGAAGGCGGCUUUCUAGGCUGUUUCUGACGCUGAGGCCCUAAAGUGUGGGGAGCGAACAG
rnacentral:rRNA from 1 species